rnacentral:rRNA from 1 species
GAUUGAACGCUGGUGGCAGGCCUAACACAUGCAAGUCGAGCGGCAUCGAGUGAUCGCAGUUUACUGAGUUCAUGUCGGCGAGCGGCGGACGGGUGAGUAAAGUCUGGGAAUCUGGCCGAAGGAGGGGGAUAACUGCUGGAAACGGCAGCUAAUACCGCAUGAAGUCGCGAGACCAAAGUGGGGGACCUUCGGGCCUCACGCCUUCGGAUGAGCCCAGAUGAGAUUAGCUGGUAGGUAAGGUAAAGGCUCACCUAGGCGACGAUCUCUAGCGGGUCUGAGAGGAUAGCCCGCCACACUGGAACUGAGACACGGUCCAGACUCCUACGGGAGGCAGCAGUGGGGAAUAUUGCACAAUGGGCGAAAGCCUGAUGCAGCCAUGCCACGUGUGUGAAGAAGGCCUUCG